rnacentral:rRNA from 1 species
AAUGAACGCUGGCGGCAGGCCUAACACAUGCAAGUCGAACGGAUCCUUCGGGAUUAGUGGCGGACGGGUGAGUAACGCGUGGGAACAUACCCUUUGGUACGGAAUAGCCUCGGGAAACUGGGAGUAAUACCGUAUGUGGUCGAGAGACGAAAGAUUUAUCGCCAAAGGAUUGGCCCGCGUUGGAUUAGGUAGUUGGUGGGGUAAUGGCCUACCAAGCCGACGAUCCAUAGCUGGUUUGAGAGGAGGAUCAGCCACACUGGGACUGAGACACGGCCCAGACUCCUACGGGAGGCAGCAGUGGGGAAUCUUAGACAAUGGGGGAAACCCUGAUCUAGCCAUACCGCGUGAUCGAUGAAGGCCUUAGGGUUGUAAAGAUCUUUCAGGUGGGAAGAUAAUGACUGUACCACCAGAAGAAGCCCCGGCUAACUCCGUGCCAGCCGCCGCGGUAACAC